UCCAAUGUGGUGUAGUGGUUAACAUUGCUGUCUUUCAUUGAGGUUCCUCGCACAGCAGCCCGGGGUUCGAUUCCCCGCAUUGGAA